GUUGAGCAAUUGGUGUGGUAACUGCUCAAUGCAGCCCUCCUGCUGAAAUGAGGAUCCUGCUGAAAGAACCGGCAAAAGUUCAAAGUUAGCAUAACUAAUAGUGGGACAACUUGAAAUUAUGCAGCUCAUAAAGCAAUGCAAUAUAAUGUAUACACAAUGAUGUUUAAUUUGAAUCUAAUUAAGCACUCAGACUUAACUUCUGGUUAACAAGAUAUAUAGGGGAUAAAGAAACAAAUUAAACAGCACGAUGAGAAAGUAAUCAGAUAAAACCCAAACAUAGUACAUUACACAAAACAAAAAGUUUUAGGCUGUCCAAAGGACAAUAUUAUGAGAAAAAUAAAAAGAUGGUUGUGCAGGAGAAAUUUAAAGACAUUUAAGGAACAAGACAAUCUAAUGCAGUGUGUGAACUUAUCCAAGUUUAGGGUGACAUAUGUAGGCUAAAUGGGUUUGGAUAAUAGAGGACAUUAAGGAGUCACUGUUAGUUUUUCUAAAUUUGAUAAUGGCAUUUUGGUUUUCUAGAAAAAUGUAUUUUUUGGAGAUGCAUGCUGGAGUAUUCGAAAGUGCCAUGGCUAGAAUGUAUGUGUCCCUCAAAAUUCAUAUUUUGAGACUCAAGUUACAGUAUUAAAAGAUGGGGCCUUUAGAAUGAUUAAAUCAGGAGGGUUUUACUCCUCAUGAAUGAAUUAGUACCCUUAUAAAAAAGGGCUUGAGGGAAGUAGCUAUGCCCUAUUUGUUCUUCUAGCUCUUCUGCUGGGCGAGAUGAAAGCGUUCAUCUUCUCCGGAGAACACACGAAGUCCUCACCUUGCAAGCAGAGACCAGGCCCUCCCCAGACACUGAGCUUGGUGGCACUUGGAUUUUGGACUUCCAGCCUCCAAAAUUGUGAGAAAAAGUGCUGAAUAUCACAGAACACAAAGAAAAGAGAAAGAGAAACUGACAGAGCCUAUAAAUGUUGCACGAAGGUUCAGAUACAUACAGUUCUGCUGGCUUUUUAAGGAGCAGUGUUUCCUAUAUCCUAAGGCAGAUGGACAUGUUGGGAUGGAGGGACAUGGAUGGAGCUGGAAGCCAUUAUCCUCGGAAAAUUAACACAGGAACAGAAAACCAAACACUGCAUGUUUGUGGGAGCUGAACAAUGAGAACACAUGGACCCAGGGAGGGGAACAACACACACUGGAGCCUGUUGGCGGUAGUGGGGGUAUGAGGGAAGGAAGAGCAUCAGAAAAAAAUAACUAAUGUAUACUGGGCUUAAUACCUAGGUGAUUGGUUGAUAGGUGCAGCAAACCACCAUGGCACACAUUUACCUAUGUAACAAGCCUGUUGCACAUGUAUCCCGGAAUGUAAAAUAAAAUAAAAUAAAAUAAAUAGUACCCCAAAUGCAGUGCAGGACUCUGGAUUCAAUUCUGGAACAGAGAAAGGACAUUUGUGGGAAAAAAAGGGGUGCAAUCUAGGGUCUUUAUAUAUAGAUAAUGGUACUGUAUCAAUGUGAAUUUCUUAGUUUUGACUAAUGCACUAUGGUUAUGUAAGAUAUUAGCAUUAUGGGAUGCUGGUCAAGGCCAGAUGGUGACUUUCUGCACUCUUUGUAAUGUUUUUGUAAAUCUAAAAUGAUUCCAGAAUAAAAGGUGUAUUUAAGAAAUGGGGGAAAAAGAUAAGCAGCUCUGGGCCUUGGAGAGAGAUACAAAAAUUAGUAGCAAUUGAAAAUAAUUGAAGCCUCACCAGUAAAUAAGACAAUACAGAAAGAGUGACAGAACCUUCAUGAAUUCAUGAGAAUAAAUGCUAAAUUGCCGUAACUUAAAGACCCUGUAAUACCUUGACUCAGAGGACAAAGAAGUUUCAUUUUUUCUUCCUUAACAGUCCCAAUGUGAAGAGACUCAGCUGGUAGGAUAGCUCAACUCUACUUAGGCUUUUAGGGACAGUUAUGUUUGGGUGAUCUGCAAUCCCAUAGGUGUCAUCGCUAGCCUGGUUAAAACUAGAGUACUGCCUUCUUUGUAUUCUUGUCAUUUGUGCCAAUCAAUUGUAACUGGAGAGAGAGAAUAAAAAAGAGUGUAUCUACAGGUGCAUAUUAGUUCACAGGUUUGGUGGUAGAAGUUAAGGAAACUUCCCUCUGUGAAGGAACAAAAUCAAAGUCAUCUGUUUGCGAUCAAGAGGGGCAUGGCAGGGUUAUAC
rnacentral:lncRNA from 1 species